CCAGGGCAUCAAACCACACCUUAAAUGGAUGCAUUGUUCACCUUUUAACCCUAAUCAGACACCAAGAGAAAGGCAACAGCAGGGAUCCUGAGAAACAGAGAGACCAGGAGCUAUGGGGAGAAUUUUCCAGCAUUGGGGAUGAGAAUGUAAGCAUCAAUUUAUGUAAAACCUAUUGCUUGAUUGAAGACUAGACUUUUGAAGGCCAUCUUGUAGAACACCCUGCCCCACACAUUGUUGAAAGGUAUCUUUUGUUUUGGAAUGGAACUCUACACUAUGGGAUUCUUAGUGGAGAGGAGAGUUACCAGAGUCAGCACUGGAGGCUACCAACACGAUAUCACCGAAGGCAAAGUUGGACAGAGAAGCUGUAAUAGUACACUCGAGUUUUAA
rnacentral:lncRNA from 13 species